rnacentral:rRNA from 1 species
UGCAUAUCAAAAAGCGGAGGAAAAGAAACCAACAGGGAUUGCCUUAGUAGCGGCGAGUGAAGCGGCAAAAGCUCAAAUUUGAAAUCUGGCUCUUUCAGAGUCCGAGUUGUAAUUUGAAGAAGGUAUCUUUGGGUCUGGCUCUUGUCUAUGUUUCUUGGAACAGAACGUCACAGAGGGUGAGAAUCCCGUGCGAUGAGAUGAUCCAGGCCUAUGUAAAGUUCCUUCGAAGAGUCGAGUUGUUUGGGAAUGCAGCUCUAAGUGGGUGGUAAAUUCCAUCUAAAGCUAAAUAUUGGCGAGAGACCGAUAGCGAACAAGUACAGUGAUGGAAAGAUGAAAAGAACUUUGAAAAGAGAGUGAAAAAGUACGUGAAAUUGUUGAAAGGGAAGGGCUUGAGAUCAGACUUGGUAUUUUGUAUGUUACUUCUUCGGGGGUGGCCUCUACAGUUUAUCGGGCCAGCAUCAGUUUGGGCGGUAGGAGAAUUGCGUUGGAAUGUGGCACGGCUUCGGUUGUGUGUUAUAGCCUUCGUCGAUACUGCCAGCCUAGACUGAGGACUGCGGUUUAUACCUAGGAUGUUGGCAUAAUGAUCUUAAGUCGCCCGUCUUGAAACACGGACCAA